GGAUGUGAGGGUGAUCUGACUGUGACAUCUGUCACCCCACUGAUCCCCAGGGUUGAUUCGGCUGAUCUGGCUGGCUAGGCAGGUGUUCCCUUACUCCCUCACCAUUCCAUGUGUGGUGUCCCUUCCAAAGCUGCAUGCUCAGUCAAAGAGGACGACCUUCCCUGAUAGAGGAGGACCGUUCUUUGGUCAAGGGUAUAUGAGUACCUGUACUCCCCUGCUAGAACCUAAAUUCUUUAGAAUAUAAAAAAUUCUUUAGAAUAUAACAAAAGUUUACCAUUAACAAACACUCCUCUAAUAAGCUUGGUAUAUGCUUUAUCCAGA
rnacentral:snRNA from 1 species